UAAACCAGGAUUAGAUACCCUAUUAUAUUUAAACAAAUUNGGUAGUAUUAUUAAUAAAAACCUUUAUACUUUGGCGGCAUUUUAUCUUAUUAGAGGAAUAUGUUCAUUAAUCGAAACCACACGAUAGUUUUUACUUACUAUAAAAUUUUAUAUACCCCCGUCUAAAGAAUUUAUUUAAAAUUUUUAUUCCAAAUUAUAUUAAAAAAAGUUAGGUAAAGGUGUAGACUAUUAGUAAGAUUAAAUGUAUUACAUUAAAAAAAAAUUUAAGGAUAAAACAGUUAACUGUUUAUUAAAAGAGGAUUUAUAAGUAAUUUACUUUUAAUAAAAAUUAAUGAAUAA
rnacentral:rRNA from 1 species